CUUACUUAAAAUAACUUUAUAAUGUCCUUUUCUCUCCAAGGUCUCUUUCAAGGCUCUGCCUGGGUUGCGUUUGGACUUGUGCAGAGCAAGUCUGCCUGAGGAAGGAGGGCCAGAAAAUUUGGGGAGGGCGGUUUGGGGUGAGGAGGGAAGGGGAAAUGCUGAUAAGGGUGACAAACGCUUUCACCUUCAGGAGUGGCGAGCUGUGGGAGAGCUGGCUGCAAUGAGGGCCUGGCACAGCUUCAGCUUGCGCACGUGGGGAUGGAUCAGCUGAGAGAAAUGACUGCAUUUAUUCAAUGAAUUUACAUGAGGUGCCUGCGCUGCCAGAAGGGGCUGGGCUCCCUCUUUCCCUCCCUGACAUCAGUGGCUCCACGCAGGAGUGGCAGGACCUGGUUGGGGGUGUCAGCAACAAAGCUUUCGGAGCACAAGAUUGUUGUCGUGUGGCCUUCGGUACCCCCAUGAACUCUUGCUGCAGUUCCCCACCGCCUCUGCACCUCGGUGGAGCAGGGUGAGAAGAAGCUGCGUGUGGUUAGCACGGCUCUACAGCAAGCACUGCUCUUCUGCUACUGCCCUGCCUCACGAAGGGGGGACAAAGGAAGGCACGGAUACUCAGAGCAUUAUGAUGACAGCAGGAUAAGCUCUUUCACUGUAAAGAGAUGUAAUUUUUUAGCCUGUUCCUGAGCAGGCUUUGCUCAAAUGGCUCCUGCAAAGAAAGAUGCUGGGAAGAAGUGGUUAUGGCUUUGCUGAGGAACAUACCCUCAGUGAUCACAGACGGAUCCAUGGGAUGAAGGUCGGGAAAUGAGCCCUGGGUGCUCCCAGGGAGAUGUGUAGGGGGGCAAGGUCUGAGGGCAGUACUGGUGCCAGCCUGAACAAAGCUGCCGGGGCUCAUGGACCAUUUCUCACCACAUCCACCUGCACUUGGCCAGGAAACGUAAUGAGGGCAAAGACUCGCAAAAAUGACCUACUUGUGCAGGCUGUUUAUCUGCGAAGCAGGCACGGUGUUCAAAGGCCUGCAGGUGGUCAAUGUAGGUGAAAACAGAAACAGAAGGGACCCAGCACCUUGAAAGAUCAGCACCAGCCUUUCUGUGAAUACAAGGGGAUUGCAUUUCCUGCCUGGUCUCUUCUGAGCUUUUGUUGACUUUCUUUUUGGGGCUUUGCUAACUGAUAACUCCUGCACAUUAUGCUAUUUUAAUACCUAGCAAAGAGCCUUGUCUGCUAAAUCACCUUAUUUUUCUCUGAUCGGAGCACAGUGUAUUCCUCUUUUUAGUAGAAGGUAUUAAUUUAAAUUCCAUAAUCCCAAACAUAUUCUCGUUUCUGUUCUGUGCUUCAGAAGGCCAAUGGCAUUUUAAUUUAAUAAGGGAGAAACACACAUGACACUGUGUUCCCUGCAACUGUCUUCUGACCUCAAUGAGUCUUUCCCAGCUUUCUUUAUGUUCCAGCAAAUGCAAUCCCUGCUUUUAUUGAAGAACUAUUGUUCCUAAUACCCAGCUUCUACCUGGCAAAACUUAAAUAUCUGUAAUGUUUUCACAGUAACUUUUUAGACAUUAUUUGCAUUACUAUUUAGUAAUACAAGUUUAUCGGUGGAGCCUUAGAGAGAUUUAUGUCCCACUAAAAAAUUGUCUGAACAUAUGCUGGCCUUUUGCAGAUAAAUAAAAUUUAUUUUGGUUUGCUUUGGUUUUGGAUU
rnacentral:lncRNA from 1 species